AUCCAACUGACGAGUCCCAUAUAGGACGUAUGCGUGUCCUGGAU
rnacentral:hammerhead_ribozyme from 1 species